rnacentral:lncRNA from 1 species
GUCCCUCUUUUGUGGUAUUUCUGGAUCCUUACCAAGGCAGUAAUGGUGUAUGCCUUCUCUCAAAGUAUGUGGUAUUUUUGGUAUGAGGCAUAAUGGCAUUGCCUUCUCUCUCACCCUACUCUAAUAAGGUUUUGAUAUGUGGAGCUCAUAGGUGGGAGACAGCUAAUACAUAUUUACAAGACAUUUAUUGCAUAGUCAAACCAUGGAUCCAGAAGAACAAGUCAAUAAGUCAAAUCAAGAUAUGCAUGUGUGGCGAAUGAAUGGUGUAUGGUGAUGAUGGUGAUAACAAUGGUGAAAGUCUAAUUCUACUUGUGCUCUUUUGAGGGGAUACAUAUCUUUCUUGCUCUUAUGAAACUUUUUGAGGAGAAUGAGAUGCUCUAUAUUUUCUUUUUCUUUUCUCUUAGGUGGGUAUCUUGUAACCCUAAUUCUACUGUCGGACACUUGUCCAUUUUUACCUCUCAUCUCACUUUUUCUUUUCUUUUGAGGUUCCGGACACUUGCCCCUUUUUAUUUCCUCGUAUCUUCUCUCUUUUUUUUAGAGCACUCACCUCUUUUAAUAAUGUAGCAAGUGGUAGUAACCGAAAUAUCAUGAGCAUUUAUUUCAAAGGGGAAACAGAAAUAGGAGAAUGUUUUUGGCUAUUCUCUCCCGGAUUAAGAGUAGAAUAUUUUUGGGUGGUUCUGGAGAUGGAAAUGGGUGGAUAUAUGUGGAUGCGUACUUCCGAAGUAGAAGCAGCAUGUGUGGGUGAACGUGCAAGUGAAUCUUGAUUUAACCACAUGACAAGCUCCUAAGGGUCUA